rnacentral:rRNA from 1 species
AGCGAACGCUGGCGGCGUGCUUAACACAUGCAAGUCGAACGUGAAAUGUAGCAAUACAGAGUAAAGUGGCGUACGGGUGAGUAACACGUGGGUAAUCUACCAAAGUGUCUGGAAUAACCGAUCGAAAGGUUGGCUAAUACUGGAUAGUUCCAAGCUUGUUAUAAUGGCAAGAUUGGGAAAGGGAGCUGGCAACAGCCUUCGCAUUUUGAUGAGCUCGCGUCUGAUUAGCUAGUUGGUAAGGUAAUGGCUUACCAAGGCUGAGAUCAGUAGCUGGUCUGAGAGGAUGAUCAGCCACACUGGAACUGAACACGGUCCAGACUCCUACGGAGCAGCAGUGGGGAAUCUUGCGCAAUGGACGAAAGUCUGACGCAGCCACGCCGCGUGAGUGAAGAAGG